rnacentral:rRNA from 1 species
GACGAACGCUGGCGGCGUGCCUAAUACAUGCAAGUCGAGCGCUGAAGGUUGGUACUUGUACCAACUGGAUGAGCAGCGAACGGGUGAGUAACGCGUGGGGAAUCUGCAUUUGAGCGAGGGACAACAUUGGGAAACGAAUGCUAAUACCGCAUAAAAACUUUAAACACAAGCAUUAAGAUUGAAAGAUGCAAUUGCAUCACGCAAAGAUGAUCCCACGUUUUAUUAGCUAGGUGGUGAGGUAAAGGCUCACCAAGGCGAAGAUACAUAGCCGACCUGAGAGGGUUGUCCGCCCCCAUUGGACUUGGACACGGCCCCAACCCCUACGGGAGGCAGCAAGAGGGGAUCUUCCGCCAUGGACGGAAGGCUUACCGGGGCACGCCGCGGGAGGGGAGGAGGUUUUCGGAUCGUUAAACUCUGUUUGUAGGGAAGAACGGUGGUGAGAGUGGACAGCUCAUCAAGUGACGGUAACUACCCAGAAAGCCACGGCUAACUACGUG